GUCUAUGGCCACAUCACCCUGGAUGUAGCUGAUCUUGUCUGAUCUCGGAAGCUAAGCAAGUUUGGGCCUGCUUAGUACUUGGAUGGGAGAAAAUAUAAUGAUGUAUGAUCAUUAAACAACAUGUGAAGUGGUAUACU
ensembl:rRNA 5S_rRNA 5S ribosomal RNA